UAAAUUUUAGCUUAAGCAUAGAGCAUCUGAUUGUUAAUUAGAGGGUAUAAAUAAAUAUAUAAAUUUAG
rnacentral:tRNA from 1 species